ACUGGGACAAACAGGCAAUGGGAACACUGUGGCAAGGUCAUCUCACUCAUAACACCUAUAAUAUUCUAAUGUACUACACAUUUUACUUUUUCUUUUUCUUUUCCCAAUAAAAUGAAAGCUUCACAAUGAGCAGGAGUUUUGCUUGUUUUUUUUUUCCUCAUAGCUAUAACCCCAGUGAGCUCCAUAAUAUUGGUUGAAUAAAUGAACAUGUUUACCUGCUGUGAUUAUUCAACGUGGCUGCAAAUUCUUGUUCAUGCUCCUCAUUGACAGGUGACACUUAUUUCCCCUUUCUUUGAAUCUAGGCUGGCUCUCUGACCACCUCAACCAAUAGAAUGUAGCAGAAAUGUGCCAUGACAAUUCCAGGCCCAGGCUUUAAGAAGACUGGUAGUUUUUAUUUUCUGAUUCUGAGAACUCUUGUUCUUGGCAUGCUUUCUCUUGCAACCCAGCCACCAGGCUGUGAAAAGUCCAGACUACUCUGGUACAGCAGCCCAGCUGAGUUUCCAGCUGACAGCUAGGUUGAAUGACCAGGUUUUCAGUGAGCCAUCUUGUCUGUUCCAGCCCAUUUGAAUCCUCAGGUGACUACAGUCCCAACCAUCAUCAUAUGGAAUAGAAGAACUGCCCAGGCUAUUGCUCUUACAGAAGAAAUUCCUUCCACCAUUCUUAUCCACAGGAUAUCUCCACCCACCUACCACCAUCUCCAAGUCCACAGGAGAGAUGGGGUUGCAAAGCAAGUAAAUGCACUGAAUUCCAAAGAGUGACAAAGUCUGAAAAGAAAAUAUCACCUUUCACAAAGCAUAUGAGGAUGAGGUGAUCACCAUAAAACAGGAACAUGAGACCAGAUGGAAAUUUGAAUUUAUACAAAGAAAUGAAAAGUGCCAGAAAAAAUAAAAUAAAGGU